AUUUUUGAAGGGUAAAAUGAGAC
rnacentral:piRNA from 1 species